CCAAACGUGGCAUAGUGGUUUGAGUGUUGGACUUGGACUCUGAGAGACCAGGGUUCAAAUCCCUGCUUGGA
rnacentral:tRNA from 1 species